rnacentral:rRNA from 1 species
GUUGUUGGGUAGGGGAGCGUUCUGUAAGCCUGUGAAGGUGUACUGUGAGGUAUGCUGGAGGUAUCAGAAGUGCGAAUGCUGACAUAAGUAACGAUAAAGCGGGUGAAAAGCCCGCUCGCCGGAAGACCAAGGGUUCCUGUCCAACGUUAAUCGGGGCAGGGUGAGUCGACCCCUAAGGCGAGGCCGAAAGGCGUAGUCGAUGGGAAACAGGUUAAUAUUCCUGUACUUGGUGUUACUGCGAAGGGGGGACGGAGAAGGCUAUGUUGGCCGGGCGACGGUUGUCCCGGUUUAAGCGUGUAGGCUGGUUUUCCAGGCAAAUCCGGAAAAUCAAGGCUGAGGCGUGAUGACGAGGCACUACGGUGCUGAAGCAACAAAUGCCCUGCUUCCAGGAAAAGCCUCUAAGCAUCAGGUAACAU